rnacentral:ncRNA from 1 species
GUCUACGUACAUACCUUAAAACGGUGAAAGCGCGAAUGGCUCAUUAAAUCAGCUAUGGUUCCUUAGAUCAUAUAUACUACAUGGAUAACUAGUAAUUCUAGAGCUAAUACAUGCAAUUAUGCCCUGACCCGCAAGGGAACGGGUGCAUUUAUUAGAACAGAACCAACCGGGGGCAGUUUCGUCUAUUUCUCUUGAAUUCUGUGAUAACUAUGGAUAACUUCAAUGAUAGCAGUCAGCCUUGUGUCUGCGACGGAUCGUUCAAAUGUCUGCCUUAUCAAUUUGUUGAUAGGUGAUCUGCCUACCAUGAUAAUAACGCUUAGGUGAG